CCAAUCAGCUUCCUGCUCAUACAUGGUCCACGUGUUCCUCCAGCCAAUCACAAUAUCACGUCCAAUGCCUGACUCCACUCCCGGCUCCUCUCGCCCUUUAAGGGACUGCCCCAUCCGGCCUGUGGCUGUACAUUUCCACUGGGCCUUCUGCUUACCAGAUGUCUGCUGGAAAUACAACAGUGGAGAGAAAAGAGUCUAUGAGAUUCCUGGAGUGCAUGGAAGAGAACUGCCUGACACAGUUGGAAAGUGAGACAACCAGGGAAGCUGCUCUGCUGGACUUGCUGUUUGUGAGCAGAGAUGGACUGGUGGGGGUCAUGACCGCUGAAGCCAUCUGGACACAGUGAUGAAGAAGUGACAGAGUUUUUGAUACUGGAGAAAUAAGGAAGGAGGACAGCAGAACUGCCACCCUGCAUUUCUGGAGAGCAGACUUGGGUCUGUUUAGGAGACUGAUUGAGAGUCCCUUGGGAAGCAGUCCUGAGAGGCGAAGGGGUCCAGGAAGGCUGAACAUUCUUCAAGAAGGAAAUCGUCAAGGCACAAGAACAGGCUGUCCCCAUGUGCUGAAAGACAAGCUGGUGAGGAAGAGACUGGCCUGGCUGCACAGAGAAAUUUGGCUGGAACUCAGGGAGGAAAAGAGCAUUUAUCACCUCUGGAAAAAGGGGCAGGGAACUCAGGAGGACUAUGAGGAUGUUGGGAGGUUAGGCAGGGAGAAAGUUAGAAGGGCCAAAGCCCAGCCAGAAAUUUAUCUGUCCCAUGCUGUAAGAGAUAAAUGGAUAGUUUUCUACAGAUACAUUAUGAAAUAAAUGGGCAGGAGAUCUUU